GCGUAAUGAUUUGAGCACUGUCUCGGCAAUAAAUCCGGUGAAAUUGUAGUGCAAGUGAAGAUGCUUGCUACCCGCGGUUGGACGGAAAGACCCCGUAGAGCUUUACUGUAGCUUAGCAUUGAAUUUCGGUAUUGUCUGUACAGGAUAGGUGGGAGACUUAGAAGCGAGGGCGUCAGCUUUCGUGGAGUCGUCCUUGGGAUACCACCCUGACAGUACUGGAAUUCUAACUGGAGGCCAUGAAUCUGGUCACAGGACAUUGCUAGGUGGGCAGUUUGACUGGGGCGGUCGCCUCCUAAAAGGUAACGGAGGCGCCCAAAGGUUCCCUCAGCGCGGUCGGAAAUCGCGCGUAGAGUGCAAAGGCAGAAGGGAGCCUGACUGCGACACAUACAGGUGGAGCAGGGACGAAAGUCGGGCUUAGUGAUCCGGUGGUUCUGUAUGGAAGGGCCAUCGCUCAACGGAUAAAAGCUACCUCGGGGAUAACAGGCUGAUCUCCCCCAAGAGUCCACAUCGACGGGGAGGUUUGGCACCUCGAUGUCGGCUCGUCGCAUCCUGGGGCUGUAGUCGGUCCCAAGGGUUGGGCUGUUCGCCCAUUAAAGCGGCACGCGAGCUGGGUUCAGAACGGCGUGAGACAGUUCGGUCCCUAUCCGCCGUGGGCGUAGGAAAUUUGAGAGGAGCUGUCCUUAGUACGAGAGGACCGGGAUGGACCAACCUCUGGUGCACCAGUUGUU
rnacentral:rRNA from 1 species